ACGGCAAGAGAGAUAUUUGAGAAGUCUGUUUCAUCCAUCUAGCAUGUUCUAAAGACCUGAAAUCUGCAUUUUUUUUUUACUUUCACAGUGUCAGGAAAGUUGCUACAUUACCCUUGAGAAGAAAAUAACAUCCCCUACAAGCAGAGGCCAGCAGAACUUCCCAGAAUUUGUCUAAGGGUCUCCUGCUGGAGGAAAAAAGUCUGAAACAAUUGAGGUUGCAUAGUUGCUGUACCCAUGGAGAAGGAGAAAGGGGCGUAUCUUCAAGUAACUUUGGUCACAUCUCACAAUGGAUAAAUUUAAUGUCAGCGAUUGCAAGGGACCAUGAAGGAUCAUCUAGUCCAAUCCCUCUGCCAGAGCAGAAACACUUAAAUCAGGUCACACAGGAGUGUGCCCAGAGGCGUUGUGCUGAAUCCCUUUGGUAAAAGCACAGGCAACCAAGCCGAGAAGGAGGAAAAGGACGGGGCACACAGCCUCAUAAAUACUCAGUGCAAACAGCUCGUUGGACAGGUGAUGAGGGCGAGGUGUAGUUACCACAAACCGGCUUUACGGAAACAAGGCUAGGAAACCCCGCCGGCGCUCCCCGGGUGGUGCAAUGCCGCCACCUGGCGGCCUCCCGCCGCCUCCUCCCGCUUAGCUCCUCGUUCCGCUGCUCCGCGCCGCCUCAGCCUGCGGCCUGUUCGCUGCCCUCGCCUGAGUGGGGGCUGCGUCAGGCUGAGAGCGGCGCUGCCAGCAGGGGGCUGUAGAGUAACGAGGGCUAAGAACGGAGAGACCCAGAGGGCCCGGCUGCCUCAGUCACGCCGUCAUUCUGUGAAGAGUCUUUCAGCCAUGUAGAUGUUUAC